GUCUGUGGCACCGCUGCAGAACAUUCCACUGAGGUGUUUCUCCUCUGAGCUGCUCUAAGUACAAGUCAGUCAGCCCUUGGAAGAAGGACAGGUUGGGUGCAGAGCUAUCCACAAUCUCACCACUGGAUACUAGAUUAUGAUGACAGCUGGGGAUCCUGGGCUGUUAGUUCAAUAAUGGGUGGCAUUCAUCAGGAAGACUCUUACCAGCAAUGGGCCUAUAAGUUUGUGAGGAAUUGUGACAGAGAUGGGUACAGAAGGCAGGAAAAGAAGCUCAGUUCUCAAGAACUUAAUUUUAAAGCCUGGAUCUGAAAUUUUUCAACUUCUUUUGUUAUGAAGUGAUUUCCAGCAGGAGUGAUGCAAAAGCUGAAAGGCUUCAUACUACAGGAAGAGGAUAUGGUUAAAGGCACCAGGAUGUCUACAAAACAGAUUUAUUUCCAUCUCAGCAGGAGGCAGCCAUGUUUCUCUAAGUGUUGAUUAAACUGUUCCUCCAUGGUGGC
rnacentral:lncRNA from 1 species